CAUGCUAGACGUAGUUUGAUCCUGGCUCAGAACGAACGCUGGCGGCAGGCCUAACACAUGCAAGUCGAGCGAGGACUUCGGUCCUAGCGGCGGACGGGUGAGUAACGCGUGGGAACGUGCCCUUUGGUACGGAAUAGCCCCGGGAAACUGGGAGUAAUACCGUAUGGUGUCUUCGGACUAAAGAUUUAUCGCCAAAGGAUCGGCCCGCGUUGGAUUAGGUAGUUGGUGGGGUAAUGGCCUACCAAGCCGACGAUCCAUAGCUGGUUUGAGAGGAUGAUCAGCCACACUGGGACUGAGACACGGCCCAGACUCCUACGGGAGGCAGCAGUGGGGGAUCUUAGACAAUGGGGGCAACCCUGAUCUAGCCAUGCCGCGUGAGUGAUGAAGGCCCUAGGGUUGUAAAGCUCUUUCAGCUGGGAAGAUAAUGACGGUACCAGCAGAAGAAGCCCCGGCUAACUCCGUG
rnacentral:rRNA from 1 species